rnacentral:rRNA from 1 species
UACGUAGGGUGCAAGCGUUAAUCGGAAUUACUGGGCGUAAAAGCGUGCGUAGACGGUUAUUUAAGUCGGGUGUGAAAGCCCCGGGCUCAACCUGGGAAUUGCAUUCGAGACUGAAUAGCUAGGGUGCGGUAGAGGGAAGCGGAAUUUCCGGUGUAGCGGUGAAAUGCGUAGAUAUCGGAAGGAACACCGGUGGCGAAGGCGGGUCUCUGGGCAAUUCCUGAGCUGAGGCGCGAAAGCGUGGGGAGCAAACGGG